UACGAAGGGGGCUAGCGUUGCUCGGAAUCACUGGGCGUAAAGGGUGCGUAGGCGGGUCUUUAAGUCAGGGGUGAAGUCCUGGAGCUCAACUCCAGAACUGCCUUUGGUACUGAGGAUCUUGAGUUCGGGAGAGGUGAGUGGAACUGCGAGUGUAGAGGUGAAAUUCGUAGAUAUUCGCAAGAACACCAGUGGCGAAGGCGGCUCACUGGCCCGAUACUGACGCUGAGGCACGAAAGCGUGGGGAGCAAACAGG
rnacentral:rRNA from 1 species